rfam:Gossypium arboreum cultivar AKA8401 contig_8100_1, whole genome shotgun sequence.
UAUUAAAAUUUGAUCUAUUUGUACCAUUAACAACUGGCGUGGCUGGCUUAAUAACCACAUAGUGACAUGUGGCGUGUCACAUGUAUUUUAUGCUAAUGUAUAGAGACCAGUUUUUAAUAGGAGAAAUGGAUGAAAUUUUUAAUA